GUUCUGGUAAUUCAGCAGGUUAGAAUGCGACACUGACACUGUCGAAGUCGGUGGUUCAAGUCCAUCCCAGAACA
rnacentral:tRNA from 1 species